rnacentral:rRNA from 1 species
GACAGAGGGUGCAAGCGUUGUUCGGAAUCACUGGGCGUAAAGGGCGUGUAGGCGGUGAGGUGUGUCUGGUGUGAAAUCCCCCGGCUUAACUGGGGAAUGGCAUUGGAAACUACCUUACUUGAGUGCGAGAGAGGGUGGCGGAAUUCCUAGUGUAGAGGUGAAAUUCGUAGAUACUAGGAGGAACACCUGAGGCGAAGGCGGCCACCUGGCUCGUAACUGACGCUGAGACGCGACAGCGUGGGGAGCAAACAGG